AUGUAAGCAGUUUUCCUGCCCUGAGGCUGUCAUGCUGAGAUGAAUCCUAUAGUAGCCACUGUGCAGACCAGCCUGAGGCUCCAUGAAGACUGACAGAGACAGAGUGGCCACAGCUGAUGCAGUCCCCACUGCCACUGCCCCUGGUCUAACCCUAAGCCAGCGCUGCCCCCCAAGCUCUUCCCACCACACCUAUACCUUACAGUAGUGCAUCCUGCCCGUGACGGUGAGAUGACACACUGCCUACUGAGAUGAAUGCGGGCAUAUCUCGAGAGCAGAAAAAGAAAAAAUUCUAUGUGCUGAAACUCUAGGAGAAACUGU